rnacentral:lncRNA from 1 species
UUUUUUUUUAUUCCCAGGAAUAACCCAAUUUUCAUCCAAACGUAAAAUUGAUUUAAUUCCCACUUAUACCUCAAUUUAUACCUAUCCCUGGAAUAGUCACUUUUUGCUUAUUUCCGAACCAAACGAUUAAGACUUUUGUAGGGUUAACUUAUAAAAGUUGAACUUUACAGGAAUAUAUUUGUAAUUCACUAUAUUUACGGGACCUGUAAGCAAUUAACCUUUUUUUUUUUAAAUCGACAGCCUUCAUUUUUAAUUCUUUUUUAAUUGCAUAAUUUUAGUAAUUAAAUUAUGGAGUCAUUUUUAGCCAGUUCAGUUAGUACUAGGACUUUUCAUUAAUUUAAAUUAUAUAGUUUUUUUUUCUUUUUCGUAAGAUAAAAAUAUACAAAAUUUAUGUGAAUUCUGAACUAUUUUGAUUUGACUGUUAAUCUUUAAAAUUUUAAUUUAACUAUCUAUCUUUUCAAUUUAUAUGAUUUUAGCCGGUCGCAGCACUUUAAUAUCAAACUUUGAAUUCACGUUGACUUCAUUAGAAUAAAUAAUUAGCUUAAAUUUUGAAAAUCAAUGUAUCAUAGGCUAAAUCUUUAACUCUCACGAUUUCAAAUAGUUCCAUAUAUAAUAUGUUGGGCGGUGCCAAAAUCGAAAAAAGGAGUGGGAUGGAUAAUCUGCGGGCGAAUCAUUAUACCCACGGGAUAUAUAUGGGCAUGGCUAAAAUAUGCCUGCAAAUUUUUACGUAGCCAACAUCUUUAUUCAUAUCUGCCCGCACGCGGGUGGGCGGGCGGGUAUGCGGGUUACUCGUAAUUUUUUUUUUCUUUUUUACUUCUAUACUUUCUAAAUACAAAACACACACACACAUAUAUAUAAUUUUUAAAAGCAUAACAUAACUCAUCGAACACUACACACACGCACACACAUCACACUAAUUUUUAAAAGCAUAACAUAACUCAUCGAAAACACACACACACACACACA